CGGUUUGUAGCUUAAUUAGGUAGAGCACAGUUUUGAUAAGACUGAAGGUAUUGGUUCAACUCCAUUUAAACCAA
rnacentral:tRNA from 1 species